AUGCUAUUUCAUCUAGUUUUGGUUGUUGAAGGGCACAACCUGCCGUUUCAAAACCUUUUAAAAUACACUGACUUUGCCCCAUGGAUUCAAUGUUAUCUACGGUUCCUUAAAUGCACACCUUCUGYCCACGCGCCCUGGAUGUAUUCAGCCUUCACGGCCUCACCUUCAAACUGCUCCUGUCCCACCUCUGGGGUGGAGGAUUCCAUCCUGCUGUGCCCACGCCGAGGUCCCCUCUCUGCUGGUGUGCACUUGGCUUUUGUCUCAUCUCCAGAGCAUAUGCACAGUUGAUGYAAUUUCUGUAACUUCAAAUAUCACAUGAAAUAUCACAUGCGAUAAAAACAUGAGAAACAGACUAGGAGACACACAGCUCAGUAAUUGCUGCCGGGGAGGGUGCAAGAAUAACGAGAUGGGAGAGAGGAGGAGACGGUUUUAAAUGUAUGCAGAGUGUUCUUCACACAAAAUAGUCUGAAGCAAACAAUCAAAAAGCUAAUUAGCUUAAUUAAUCCUUGCUUUUUUKCUAUUUGCCAGUGUGUUCUUCUCAGGCUAUUUUUUCAUUCAGCAAAAUCACGCAUCUCCAAAGCCGCCUGGUGGGUGAGUUUAAUGGUGGGACCUGGUGGUGGGCUGGAGACAGGGGGCCUUUGGCAGGAAGUCCUUCCGUGGCAUGGUGGGGGGUGUGGGGGGGAGUGAGGGAGCUCGGGGUGAGGGGCAUAGGAGCAGCGCGCGGAGGCCUUGGCAUGGACGCGGCUCUGGUCCCCUUAGAUGCUGCAGCAGGUGGUGAGGGUGGCUUCUCUCGACCUCGUGGUUUCUUGGGAUGUACCUCUUAAUGUCCUUGCCACACAGGCCCAGCGAGCAGCUAAUGUGAUGGACAUGCCGGUCAGCAGGGUCAGCCCUCUCACAGCACGGGCCUGUGUCGUCUUGGACACUGCAGAUGCCUACGGGUCCAUUUGUCAAUUUUACCUUGGUAAAGCCUGCGGAGGGGGAAAGAGAAACAGGAUGGAUCAGGAGCCUU
rnacentral:lncRNA from 1 species